rnacentral:rRNA from 1 species
GAUGAACGCUGGCGGCGGGCCUAAUACAUGCAAGUCGAGCGAACAGACGAGGAGCUUGCUCCUCUGACGUUAGCGGCGGACGGGUGAGUAACACGUGGAUAACCUACCUAUAAGACUGGGAUAACUUCGGGAAACCGGAGCUAAUACCGGAUAAUAUAUUGAACCGCAUGGUUCAAUAGUGAAAGACGGUUUUGCUGUCACUUAUAGAUGGAUCCGCGCCGCAUUAGCUAGUUGGUAAGGUAACGGCUUACCAAGGCAACGAUGCGUAGCCGACCUGAGAGGGUGAUCGGCCACACUGGAACUGAGACACGGUCCAGACUCCUACGGGAGGCAGCAGUAGGGAAUCUUCCGCAAUGGGCGAAAGCCUGACGGAGCAACGCCGCGUGAGUGAUGAAGGUCUUCGGAUCGUAAAACUCUGUUAUUAGGGAAGAACAAAUGUGUAAGUAACUAUGCACGUCUUGACGGUACCUAAUCAGAAAGCCACGGCUAACUACGUG